UACGUAGGGUGCAAGCGUUGUCCGGAAUUAUUGGGCGUAAAGAGCUCGUAGGCGGUCUGUCGCGUCGGCUGUGAAAACUCGGGGCUCAACCCCGAGCCUGCAGUCGAUACGGGCAGACUAGAGUGCUGUAGGGGAGACUGGAAUUCCUGGUGUAGCGGUGAAAUGCGCAGAUAUCAGGAGGAACACCGAUGGCGAAGGCAGGUCUCUGGGCCAUUACUGACACUGAGAAGCGAAAGCAUGGGGAGCGAACAGG
rnacentral:rRNA from 1 species